CGGGGGAGGCCGGAUCCUGGGCUGUGUCCCGGCGCCCUGUGCUCCGGAGCCUGCGCUGUUGGAGUUGCGCUCCCGCCCCGCAGCCCCCU
rnacentral:pre_miRNA from 1 species